CCCAUUCUCGCACAAUAGCUGACAAUAGUUACAAUUUGUUGACUCCUCGUGGGAUGUGUCGCCUGGUACAUCACGAACUUGUAUUACCUAUAUACACGGUAGCAGUGUGUGACGUCAAUCAUUUGUCGGCAGACCUCGUAAUGUCGACCGUUACCAUUUUAAUACUGCAUGCGUCUUUCUGGACAUCAUCGAAAGGACCGAUGUCCUAGGUAUCUACCUUUUGUGUAACAUUAACCAAUAUAUAGCGGAGGUCUAGGACACACACACAAAGUGCGCGUGAGCGAGAGCAGGAAUUAUUAAGCAGUUACCAAUUUCGAUUUUCCUCGUUCCUCUCAAUAUUUUUAAAAUGCUUGAUAUGAAAGUAAUAUGUUAUAAGUAACCAAACUGUAGAUUAGAAACAACAAGUAGUUUCCCAAACAUGUAGCGUUACAUGGAAAUCGGGCCCACAUCCGAUUUACUAACAGCCAUCGACCAUAACUGCAAAGAACCAACAUAUCUUCACCUGUCAAGACUACCACCUACGGCUGAUUGACAAAAGUCAAGGUAUUCAUAUUCUCUGGCGAUAAAAUAUCUGAAUACUAGAUAUAAAACAACUUGUUAUCACACGAAGACGGCUCGGAAACUUAGAAGCCAAGCACAUGGUCGUCGUUAACGCCCUGCUCUAGUCGGGUAUAUGCACUAUAUCUUGCAAGCUGUAAAGCACGCUACUCUUAAUAAAUAAUCGACACAGGUUUUAUCAGCAAUGGGACAGGCAGGGGUGGUGGUGAAGCAUACCAAGGCAUUGUGCGCCUUGGGGUUGGGGUGGGAGGUUGAGCCCGGGCCCCCAAACGUGGCCUGGGAACACAACAUUGAUAGCGACUGGAGAGGCCGACAGGUGACAAUGGCACGUCUCUUGUCUCCUGAAUACAGCCACAGACAGAUUGCUUUGUGGUUCCUGGCUGACCUCAGGCGGUGGCCAUAUUUACUUGCAUUUCGAACCUCCUGCAGUCAUCGCAUGCUUGUCCUGACAGCGAGAAACGACGGGGCAUCGAUGGCUGAGGAAGGGUGUGGGAUGGUGGUUGACAGAGGAGAGUGCACCGACGUCUCUUCCUAUCUCCUUACGAUGACAACAUUUGGCGGUCUGCAAGCUAGUCUACGGCGACUGUCCUCUCCACGGCUUCCUCCUUCUCUUUAGGGCAGCACAGAACGCCGCCUCUGUGGGAUGACGGGAAACUGCAACGAAAGCCGAGUCUGGCAGACGACAAGCGGUAUCUUGACCUCCAACGUAGACGACAUGAGACGAUGAGAUUUGGGACAACGUCUCCUGGUGCACGUUCUCCUCUGGGUGACGUCAAGGUCCGGUGAUGCUGUGACGUCACGUUCUUCUAUUCGUCCUGACGAUGAAGAGGGUUCCCAGACGAAUUACUAGGUUAUGCUUCUGUGAAGUUGGGGGAAAUCAAUGACAGUGGCCUGUCUCUGGCAGCUGUACUAACAACUAACUGAAACUCCUUACAUAAACACAUCUUUUUAAGCUUGGACAUCUCUACAUAGAAGACUCACAUCUGGCGGUCACCGUGCUCUCAAUACAAACUGGGAGAAAGACUGGGUCUUCAGGAAUGAUGCCCUGAACACAAAGAACAAUAGUAUGACUGCAAAAGAGAAACCCAAAGCCAAAAUGUGGCAGAAGUGGUUAGACCAGUUUUUGGUGUAGACACAAUGGCUAGGCAAACAUGCUACCUGCGAUAACGGACUGCACCACCCAAAACAUAAGUGUUUAAGGUCCAAGAAGACUGUUAUCCCAGAAAAAGGUCACUAAUAAGUUUAACGUAUCGUAAAAAAAUAUGAAAAAUAUGUUUGUGAAUUUUCUCAAAAAUACAAUCGUAUAAUAGAAUAUUUUUGUGGUAUCAAGUGAAUCUUGUCUCCCGUUUUACAGUGGGUGGUCAGAGGUUUGAACUUCGUGUUUACAAGCCUUGAACGCUUUAGUUGGUUACUUGCACGUUUCGACGCAAAUAAGAAUUAAAGUUAUGAAAUUCUCAAACAAAAAUUAAAAUAUAUACCAUUACUUUUAAUAAGCAUGACCAUGAAUUUUUAUUUUUGUACACCACAGUCUUGAUUUGUUAAUAGCUCUGGAAUCUUUCUCCAACCGACCAACCGUUCCUGCCCAUCGACUUCAUGGUGACUUUAUAUAUAUAUAAAUCCAAAAACACUUUGAAAGAAUUUUUUCACACUUGCAGAUUUAUUUAGUUUAUGAUAGUACUGUUUCAGUUUAGACAUAAAAGUAUGUUCACAGAGUUCACAGAAUACGUCUCAACGUAUUAAUAUCAGUGAAGUUUUAUUACAACUGCAAGGCAUUAAUAAAAUUGUCCUAUGUUUAAAAUAUCAUACACCUUUGAGACUGUUGUAAUUUUGUGACAGUUUGUUAAAGAUGUAGUAAGGUU